GUUAGGGUUAUCCAGAUUAUUUUGAUUGUAUGAUUAUGUUGGAAUGUAGACUAUAAUGAUUAACCAAGCUUUGUCCUGCUCUCACAACGCAGUAAAAUAAAGUGGUUGCAUCCUCUCCUUGAUUGACCAGCUGCAGAGGAAGCAAUCAAAUUUGUUCUGUUUCCCUCAACGUCGUAAAACACCCCCUGGUCUGAUUU